rnacentral:rRNA from 1 species
UCGAUUAGUUUGAUCCUGGCUCAGGAUGAACGCUAGCGGCAGGCCUAAUACAUGCAAGUCGAACGGUUGUUAGCAAUAGCAAUAGUGGCGCACGGGUGCGUAACACGUAACUAACCUACCUAUAACUGGGGGAUAGCCCGCCGAAAGGCGGAUUAAUACCGCAUAAGCUGUUUGCCUGGCAUCAGGUGAUUAGUAAAGAUUUAUUGGUUAUAGAUGGGGUUGCGGGUCAUUAGCUAGUUGGUUGGGUAACGGCUGACCAAGGCGACGAUGACUAGGGGAGCUGAGAGGCUGGUCCCCCACACGGGCACUGAGAUACGGGCCCGACUCCUACGGGAGGCAGCAGUAGGGAAUAUUGGGCAAUGGGCGAGAGCCUGACCCAGCCAUGCCGCGUGCAGGAAGAAGGCUUUCUGAGUCGUAAACUGCUUUUGACAGGGAAGAAUAAGCCUUACGUGUAGGGUGAUGACGGUACCUGCAGAAUAAGCACCGGCUAACUCCGUGCCAGCAGCCGCGGUAAUACGGAGGGUGCGAGCGUUGUCCGGAUUUAUUGGGUUUAAAGGGUGCGUAGGCGGCCGUUUAAGUCUGGGGUGAAAGCCCGCUGCUCAACAGCGGAACUGCCCUGGAUACUGGAUGGCUUGAGUACAGACGAGGUUGGCGGAAUGGACUGAGUAGCGGUGAAAUGCAUAGAU